UUCUACAGCCCUACCACCCUGCAUGACCCUGUCUCAUCUGGUCUUAUAAGCUAAGCAGGGUUGGGCCUGGUUAGCACUUGGAUGGAAGACAGAUCUUCAGAAGAGACUGCUCGGAGACAGGCAGUUUGGAGA
rnacentral:rRNA from 1 species